GUUUCUGUAGUGUAGUGGUUAUCAUGUUUGCCUCACACGUGAAAGGUCCCCAGUUCAAACCUGGGCAUAAACA